GGGGGCAAGAGGUUCGACUCGAGCGAAGCGAGAGAACGUUGCGUCAGCAACGGCCCGCAGGGCGAGCCACGCAGUGGCGAGUCAUCCUCUAUCACCGACCA
rnacentral:sRNA from 1 species